GACGAACGCUGGCGGCGUGCUUAACACAUGCAAGUCGAACGGAAAGGCUCCAGCUUGCUGGAGUGCUCGAGUGGCGAACGGGUGAGUAACACGUGGGCAAUCUGCCCUGCACUCUGGGAUAAGCCUGGGAAACUGGGUCUAAUACCGGAUAGGACCUUUCUCCUCAUGGGGUUUGGUGGAAAGUUUUUCGGUGCAGGAUGAGCCCGCGGCCUAUCAGCUUGUUGGUGGGGUAAUGGCCUACCAAGGCGAAGACGGGUAGCCGGCCUGAGAGGGUGAUCGGCCACAUUGGGACUGAGAUACGGCCCAGACUCCUACGGGAGGCAGCAGUGGGGAAUAUUGCACAAUGGGCGAAAGCCUUAUGCAGCGACGCCGCGUGAGGGAUGACGGCCUUCGGGUUGUAAACCUCUUUCAGUAGGGACGAAGCGCAAGUGACGGUACCUGCAGAAGAAGCACCGGCUAACUACGUG
rnacentral:rRNA from 1 species